UAGGGAAUCUUCCACAAUGGACGAAAGUCUGAUGGAGCAACGCCGCGUGUGUGAUGAAGGGUUUCGGCUCGUAAAACUCUGUUGUUAAAGAAGAACAUAUCUGAGAGUAACUGUUCAGGUAUUGACGGUAUUUAACCAGAAAGCCACGGCUAACUACGUGUCAG
rnacentral:rRNA from 1 species